UACAGAGGUCUCAAGCGUUUGUUCGGAUUCAUUGGGCGUAAAGGGUGCGUAGGUGGCGCGGUAAGUCGGGUGUGAAAUCUCGGAGCUUAACUCCGAAAUUGCAUUCGAUACUGCCGUGCUCGAGGACUGGAGAGGAGACUGGAAUUCAUGGUGUAGCAGUGAAAUGCGUAGAGAUCAUGAGGAAGACCAGUGGCGAAGGCGGGUCUCUGGGCCAUAACUGACGCUGAGAAGCGAAAGCAUGGGGAGCGAACAGG
rnacentral:rRNA from 1 species